AUGUGCAGGUCUAUGUCAAAUGAGUUCAGAAAAAUCAUUUGGUCCCAGCAGUACUUGAGGAGCAGUAUUGUCCUCAUUGAACAAAUGCCCUGGAAGUUACUGGUUAUGUUUCAUAUUUGUAUUAUGGAUAUUUAUAUUGUCAUUUUUCCAACAAAGGAAACAAGCUCCAGUAGUGAGAAAAUUCCAACUGAAAGUUCAAGCUCUGUCAGUGUUGACCCAGAAGUUCCACCACUGGAAAGAACUGACAGCGUAUUUCUCACCUACGAAUCUUUGGAAUUACUCUCCAAGACACCUGCUAAGUCAGAAGCCUCUAAGAGCUGCAUGGAGAGCAGUGGAGAUGAAUAUUGUCCAUCAACAGACUCAACAAAUGAGGGCAGUGGGGAUGACUACUUUCCUUCAAAGGACUCAGUAAAUGAGAGCAGUUCAGAUGUAUCAUGUGAUCCUGAAAGCAAGGCGUCACCAGUGAAACUGAAAAGACGAAAGAAGUUCAUAAAGACUUACAAUAGGAAGACUGUGUCCAGCAAGUUGCCUUCUCAGGGUGAGAGAGUAGAGAGUGGGCACUCAAGUGAUACAAACUCAGGAAAUGUGUCAGUUUUGAGGCUCCAGAAAAAGAGAGAUGGAGCUCGGGUUUACAACAAAAAACACUAUUGUCUGUACUGUCCUCUGCACUGCCAUAAAAUGGCACGGCACUUGAUUCGCAAACACAGCAAUGAACCAGCUGUGGCACAAGCAACAAGUUUUCCACUGAAAACAAAAGAACGAAAAUUGCAUUUGGACCUAAUUAGAAACAAAGGAAAUAGGGCACAUAAUAAUGAGGUCCUAAAAACUGGUUGUGGAACACUGAUCCCAAGCCAGCAAUCUGGGGAUGAAGUGAAAGCAGGUGACUACAUGCACUGUAUAAACUGUGAAGCUCUCCUUAAAAGAAAGUCAUUAUGGAGGCACAUGUCGAGGUGCAAGCUUGCACAAAAGUGUGCAACGAAAAAGCCAGGUAAAAGCAGGAUCCAAUCACUGUGUGCCUUUGCACAGCCAGUCCCAGAAGGAGUUGGCAGAAAGGUUUGGGAGCUGGUGAAUGCCAUGCACCAAGAUGAAGUCGCAGUCAUUAUCAAAGAGGAGAAAAGUAUUUUGAGACUUGGAGAACAUUUGUUUGCAAAACAUGGACAUGACAAAACCAAACAUGAAUAUAUUAGACAAAAAAUGCGGGAGAUCGGCAGACUACUUCGCCACUCAAGAAAGUCUGGCAAACUUAAAAAAAUUGAGGACUUUUAUUUACCCUCUAACUUCAACUAUGUGGUCCAGGCGGUAAAAGAUGUGGCCGGCUUCGAUGAGGACAAAAACAUCUAUAAAACUCCCUCACUAGCUUUGAAGCUCGGUCACAGUCUAAAGAAGAUUGCAGAUAUUUUAGAGUGUGACGCGCAGAUGGCUGGGUCUGACGGUGAGGAGUUUCUGAAGAAUGUGCAGAAGAGCCGCAGUUUGUAUGGGAAAAGGUGGGAUGUGUGUGUGUCAUCACAAGCUUUACAAACUCUAAGAGAGGCUAAAUGGAACACCCCCAAUCUUCUCCCCUUCACUGAAGAUGUGAAGAUGAUGCACAUGCAUCUUGAUAAGUGUAGGGAAGAGUACCAAAAAACACUUAAAAAGGAUCCAAAUAAGAGAAACUGGUCCAAGCUAGCUACUUUGACUCUAUGUGAGGUCAUCUUGUUCAACCGCAGGAGAGAGGGUGAGGUGUCAAAGAUGCCACUGAGUGCUUUUACCCUCAGAGACACCACAGGAGUACACUCUGAUCUGGCAGAAGGACUUUCCCCUUUGGAGCAAAAGCUUUGUCAACAUUUUCAACGCAUUGAAAUAAGGGGGAAGAGGAACAGGAAAGUUCCCAUCCUUCUGACACCAGACAUGCUCAGUUCAAUGGAAGCAUUGGUUGCAUAUCGGAGGGCCUGUGGCACUCCUGAUGAAAAUCCCUUUUUCUUCUCAAGACCUGAAGCAGAGACUCAUUUGAGGGGAUCAGAUGCCAUCAGACUGAUUGCAAAGGAAUGUGGAGCCAAACAUCCUGAAACUCUUUCCUCAACCAAGCUGAGGAAGCAGAUCUCUACACUGUCAACAGUCCUGAACCUGAAGGAUCACGAGAUGGACAUUAUGGCUAAUUUUCUUGGCCACGACAUUCGGGUCCAUAGACAGUUUUAUAGACUACCUGAAGGAACUAUGGAGUUGGCUAAAGUCAGCAAAGUGCUGUGUGCGCUAGAACAAGGACGAUUGUCAGAAUUCAAGGGAAUGAGCCUGGACCAAAUUCACAUCAGUCCUAAUGGUAAUGACCUAUAUUCAGUUUAUACUUACAUUUAUUUCAGAACAAAUGUUUUUUCACACUUUCUGAUACCUGAUUUUUAG
ensembl:lncRNA